AACACCUGGACCGGUGCGGGCGGAGCCCGGGGCGCGCUUUCUCGGGGAGAGAAGGCUCCCCGAGCCGGGUCCGGAGGAAGGAAAGAAUUCACACAGCAAGUCUGAGACUGUUUAUCCUUAGGCCUGCUUACAAGCUUGAUCCUUUACUGGUGUCUGGGAACUUGGAUUUGAGAAGGGUUCACACCACUCUAAAUGGCAAAUGAAACCUGAAACCACACUUCAGGUGAUGCCGACUGCCUUGAUGACACCUGCAGGCCAGACCACCCAGACCUUUUGAGCUAAACCCCUGACUCCAGUGGCCUGACGCCUGGAAUGACCGUCAAUUACCUUUACCUCAUUGUAAUACUAAAAUCUCUGCCCAGAGAGGAGCCCCGGUCUCAUUUACACCACAUACAGUAUAGGUAUAGGCAUGCUUCCUUAAGGCACAGGUACGCCCAUAUGCCUGCCUCUACAUAGGAUGACAGAGCUUCCCUAUCUGAAUAUUCACCCUAACCCUAAACCAAAGGUACCCGUUCUCUCUCUCUCUCUCUGAGUCAUGGCU